ACCUAACCUGGGGGUAGUUACCCCCGUGGGGAUGAAACUGGUAUUUUGCGGGGGUAAUAAGCUGACCUAAUACAACAGUAAAACAAACGUACACGUUUUAUUUUUUAUUACCAUUGGGAGGAGGGGUAAAAUCAGGUUCCCUAAUUAGUCAUAAGGGUGACCGGACUGAAAAGGUUAGGAACCACUGGCAUAGACCGAUACACAAGGGUCUGUAUUAUACCAUCAACUUCAGAUAGGUACAAACAGCAACACU